UACGUAGGGUGCAAGCGUUGUCCGGAAUUAUUGGGCGUAAAGAGCUCGUAGGCGGUCUGUCGCGUCGGCUGUGAAAACUCGGGGCUCAACUCCGAGCUUGCAGUCGAUACGGGCAGGCUAGAGUUCGGCAGGGGAGACUGGAAUUCCUGGUGUAGCGGUGAAAUGCGUAGAGAUCCGGAAGAACACCGGUGGCGAAGGCGGCCCGCUGGGCUGUGGCUGACGCUGGGGCGCGACAGCGUGGGGAGCGAACAGG
rnacentral:rRNA from 1 species